rnacentral:rRNA from 1 species
GAUGAACGCUAGCUACAGGCUUAACACAUGCAAGUCGAGGGGAAACGAUAUUGGAAGCUUGCUUCCGAUAGGCGUCGACCGGCGCACGGGUGAGUGACGCGUAUCCAACCUGCCCAUCACUUGGGGAUAACCUUGCGAAAGUAAGACUAAUACCCAAUGACGUCUCUAGAAGACAUCUGAAAGAGAUUAAAGAUUUAUCGGUGAUGGAUGGGGAUGCGUCUGAUUAGCUUGUUGGCGGGGUAACGGCCCACCAAGGCGACGAUCAGUAGGGGUUCUGAGAGGAAGGUCCCCCACAUUGGAACGGAGACACGGUCCAAACUCCUACGGGAGGCAGCAGUGAGGAAUAUUGGUCAAUGGGCGAGAGCCUGAACCAGCCAAGUAGUGUGCAGGAUGACGGCCCUAUGGGUUGUAAACUGCUUUUAUAAGGGAAUAAAGUGGGAGUCGUGACUCCUUUUGCAUGUACCUUAUGAAUAAGGACCGGCUAAUUCCGUGCCAGCCGCCGCCGUAA